GCUGCGGCCCUUGAUUCAUGCUCACCAUGAUUUCUCGCCAGCGGGAUCACCAGAGGCCGAGGUAAGCUUUCCUCCUCUUCCUCUCUUCUUUCUCCUUCUUCUCGUGCCUCUGUGCACGACUGUCGGUGAUGGGUUGUUGGGAAAUGUGUCCCAAAAAAAGUCAAUCGUCAAGCUGUUGAUGGUUGAGCAACCAAGUAUUGUAAUUGAUUUGUUAAUAAAUAAAAUAUAUUUGGCAUUUUCAUCAUAAGCUUUCAUCUUCUAAUGAACUCCGUUGUUAUGAUGAAGUCCUUAGGACUAUUUAAGUUCGAUAAAGAGAGGAUUUAUCAAUUAGUCCUUAAAACUGUUCAUGACCAAAUGAUAAGCUGUUAAUAAGGACG
rnacentral:lncRNA from 1 species